rnacentral:lncRNA from 1 species
GCGGAUAUUAUCAUUACUAAUUUAAUUAUAUUACAGCAUAAUAUUAUUCCAUUUAUAAUUAUAUUACAACAUAAUAUUAUACAGUUUAAAACAUUUAAAACAAUAUUAAAAUAACAAAUAAUAUCAAUCAUAACUUACUAUGUUUAUUUUAUAAUCUCAUAAAUCACUAUUUUCUCAAUCUAAACGGUUUUUAUAUUAUUAUUAUUAUUUUGAUUUUAUAAUCCCCUAAAUCACUA